rnacentral:rRNA from 1 species
AUGAAUCCGAAGGAGCUCUUCGAGCUCUUCCUCGGAAAGGAGCGUGGGGAGGCGAUUCAGGAUCUGGAGAUCUCCCAGCGGGCCAAGGGUCCGCUCACACAGGCGGAGGACGCCACGCUGCGGAAAUUCAGCACCGCCGCGGACGUGGCCUACGCCGCGGCCUCUACGCUCUUCACUCUUCCUAUCUGUUUUACCAUAAAUCAAGCACAUAAAUUGGUUGCUCUUCCACCUCCGCAUAGAUUACUGAUGUUGGGAUACUCUGCUGGUGGUGCUUGCGUGAUCGGGAAGUUGGCAUAUUAUCAGUGCCUUUAUGGAUGUGCUAUAGAUAUUUUGAAAAAUGGUGAAGAACGCAUGAAGAUGGAGCUAGCUAACAUGUGUGGAUCAUUAACUAAUGGCGCUUUAUUUACUUUCAUUGCCAGACAAAGAUACUUUAUAUUAAUAAUUUGUUUCAUUUACAAAAUACUUACUAAGCAUAGCAAUGAAAAAAAACUUGUUAAAGCUGUUAAAAAGCACUUCAUAGCUGAGCAUCUGUUCAGUGAUCACCAUCAAGAUGGUCCACUUUUCAGCUGGCGCCAACGCCAUUCAUAUGUGGACAACAGUUUUGUGGAAAGGGAGAAGGAGACUGAAGCAAAUAACUCUACCGGGGCCAGAUCAAUUUCUGGACAGACAAUUGUAGACACUAUUGAAAAGGAUCCAUUGGCUUGUAUUGGCUCUCCAGACAUCAACAAGCUGUCGGUGGACAAAAGCACCAUUCUGACGAGACAACAGCUGCAAGCCCACAGAAGUUAA